CAAAUGUCUAUCGUAUCUUACGGUAAAGAAAAGCCGGCGGUUCUGGGUCACGAUGAAGCGGCCUACUCUAAAAACCGUCGCGCCGUACUGGUUUACUAAGAGAGCCUCAUGAACAGUAAUUUCAGAUGUUG
rnacentral:sRNA from 1 species